AACGUAUUAUGCAUCACAAAAUAUUCAAUUUAUUUCAUAUACAGUAAUAUCGAUCUAAUAUAAAAUAGAAAUAAUAUGCACUCAAUAAAAAUGUUCACUAUCAGUGUUAUUCUGCUUUCAACCGUAUUAAGAAAUACGGAGACUUACCCAACAAGUAACUCUAACUUGACGGGUAGCUCAUCGAAUGUAAUACCUGUUACUACGUCUAGCGGUGAAGAUAUAUUUGAUGUUUUUACGGCCUACCCGGAAGACACACUAUCAACAUUUUUCGA